rnacentral:rRNA from 1 species
GACAGAGGGUGCAAACGUUGUUCGGAAUUACUGGGCGUAAAGCGAGUGUAGGCGGUUUCCUAAGUUGGAUGUGAAAGCCCCGGGCUCAACCUGGGAAUUGCAUUCGAGACUGCUCUGCUAGGGUGCGGAAGAGGGAAGCGGAAUUUCCGGUGUAGCGGUGAAAUGCGUAGAUAUCGGGAGGAACACCUGUGGCGAAAGCGGCUCACUGGACCACAACUGACGCUGAGGCGCGAAAGCUAGGGGAGCAAACGGG